CGACCAUGCGGUCCAUCACGGCCGGCAGG
rnacentral:sRNA from 1 species